rnacentral:rRNA from 1 species
UAAUACGUAGGGAGCGAGCGUUGUCCGGAAUUACUGGGUGUAAAGGGUGCGUAGGCGGGACUGCAAGUCAGGCGUGAAAUACCGGAGCUUAACUCCGGGGCUGCGCUUGAAACUGUGGUUCUUGAGUGAAGUAGAGGUAGGCGGAAUUCCUAGUGUAGCGGUGAAAUGCGUAGAUAUUAGGAGGAACACCAGUGGCGAAGGCGGCCUACUGGGCUUUAACUGACGCUGAGGCACGAAAGCAUGGGGAGCAAACAGG